AUUGAAACUGACCCUACUUCUGCAACUCCAGCAUUAGUCAGCAAAACUGUGUAUAUUCAGACCCCUAUAUAAGGAUUCCAGGAUCAGUUAGAGGGAGUUCUGACUGUAACAGCAGCAGACUCCGUAUUGUAUUAGUCCAGGGGACAGACAAUACGAAUCCAGAAUUCUGUAUUUGCACAUUUCUCAUAUCAAU